UACGAAGGGGGCUAGCGUUGUUCGGAAUCACUGGGCGUAAAGCGCACGCAGGCGGAUUGAUAAGUCAGGGGUGAAAUCCCGGAGCUCAACUUCGGAAUUGCCUUUGAUACUGUCUAUCUUCGAGUUCGGGAGAGGUGAGUGGAACUGCGAGUGUAGAGGUGAAAUUCGUAGAUAUUCGCAAGAACACCAGUGGCGAAGGCGGCCCACUCGGCCCGAUACUGACGCUGAGGCACGAAAGCGUGGGGAGCAAACAGGG
rnacentral:rRNA from 1 species